AUUGAACGCUGGCGGCAUGCCUUACACAUGCAAGUCGAACGGCAGCACGGGAGCUUGCUCCUGGUGGCGAGUGGCGAACGGGUGAGUAAUACAUCGGAACGUACCCUGAAGUGGGGGAUAACGUAGCGAAAGUUACGCUAAUACCGCAUAUUCUGUGAGCAGGAAAGAGGGGGAUCGCAAGACCUCUUGCUUUAGGAGCGGCCGAUGUCGGAUUAGCUAGUUGGUGAGGUAAAGGCUCACCAAGGCGACGAUCCGUAGCGGGUCUGAGAGGAUGAUCCGCCACACUGGGACUGAGACACGGCCCAGACUCCUACGGGAAGCAGCAGUGGGGAAUUUUGGACAAUGGGCGCAAGCCUGAUCCAGCCAUGCCGCGUGAGUGAAGAAGGCCUUCGGUUGUAAGACUCUUCGUGGGAGAAU
rnacentral:rRNA from 1 species